rnacentral:tRNA from 1 species
GAGGUUGUAGCUCAGUUGGUUAGAGCAUCGGCUUGUGGUGCCGAGGGUCGUGGGUUCGAGCCCCAUCUACCUCC